GAUUGAAGAACGCAGCGAAAUGCGAUAAGUAAUGUGAAUUGCAGAAUUCAGUGAAUCAUCGAAUCUUUGAACGCACAUUGCGCCCCCUGGUAUUCCGGGGGGCAUGCCUGUCCGAGCGUCAUUACAACCCUCAAGCUCAGCUUGGUAUUGGGCCCCGCCGACCCGGCGGGCCCUAAAGUCAGUGGCGGUGCCGUCCGGCUCCGAGCGUAGUAAUUCUUCUCGCUCUGGAGGUCCGGUCGUGUGCUCGCCAGCAACCCCCAAUUUUUUUCAGGUUGACCUCGGAUCAGGUAGGGAUACCCGCUGAACUUAAGCAUAUCAAUAAGCGGAGGA
rnacentral:misc_RNA from 1 species